CCUACGGGUGGCUGCAGUGGGGAAUAUUGGACAAUGGGGGGAACCCUGAUCCAGCCAUGCCGCGUGUGUGAAGAAGGCCCUCGGGUUGUAAAGCACUUUCAGUGAGGAAGAACGCCUGGUGGUUAAUACCCAUCAGGAAAGACAUCACUCACAGAAGAAGCACCGGCUAACUCCGUGCCAGCAGCCGCGGUAAUACGGAGGGUGCGAGCGUUAAUCGGAAUUACUGGGCGUAAAGCGCGCGUAGGUGGCUUGAUAAGCCGGUUGUGAAAGCCCCGGGCUCAACCUGGGAACGGCAUCCGGAACUGUCAAGCUAGAGUGCAGGAGAGGAAGGUAGAAUUCCCGGUGUAGCGGUGAAAUGCGUAGAGCUCGGGAGGAAUACCAGUGGCGAAGGCGGCCUUCUGGACUGACACUGACACUGAGGUGCGAAAGCGUGGGUAGCAAACAGGAUUAGAUACCCCAGUAGUC
rnacentral:rRNA from 1 species